rnacentral:rRNA from 1 species
AUGACGGGAGCUUGCUCCCGAAUUCAGCGGCGGACGGGUGAGUAAUGCCUAGGAAUCUGCCUGGUAGUGGGGGACAACGUCUCGAAAGGGACGCUAAUACCGCAUACGUCCUACGGGAGAAAGCAGGGGACCUUCGGGCCUUGCGCUAUCAGAUGAGCCUAGGUCGGAUUAGCUAGUUGGUGAGGUAAUGGCUCACCAAGGCGACGAUCCGUAACUGGUCUGAGAGGAUGAUCAGUCACACUGGAACUGAGACACGGUCCAGACUCCUACGGGAGGCAGCAGUGGGGAAUAUUGGACAAUGGGCGAAAGCCUGAUCCAGCCAUGCCGCGUGUGUGAAGAAGGUCUUCGGAUUGUAAAGCACUUUAAGUUGGGAGGAAGGGCAUUAACCUAAUACGUUAGUGUUUUGACGUUACCGACAGAAUAAGCACCGGCUAACUCUGUGCCAGCAGCCGCGGUAAUACAGAGGGUGCAAGCGUUAAUCGGAAUUACUGGGCGUAAAGCGCGCGUAGGUGGUUUGUUAAGUUGGAUGUGAAAGCCCCGGGCUCAACCUGGGAACUGCAUUCAAAACUGACAAGCUAGAGUAUGGUAGAGGGUGGUGGAAUUUCCUGUGUAGCGGUGAAAUGCGUAGAUAUAGGAAGGAACACCAGUGGCGAAGGCGACCACCUGGAC